CUGGUUGAUCCUGCCAGUAGCAUAUGCUUGUCUCAAAGAUUAAGCCAUGCAUGUCUAAGUACGCACGGCCGGUACAGUGAAACUGCGAAUGGCUCAUUAAAUCAGUUAUGGUUCCUUUGGUCGCUCGCUCCUCUCCUACUUGGAUAACUGUGGUAAUUCUAGAGCUAAUACAUGCCGACGGGCGCUGACCCCCUUCGCGGGGGGGAUGCGUGCAUUUAUCAGAUCAAAACCAACCCGGUCAGCCCCUCUCCGGCCCCGGCCGGGGGGCGGGCGCCGGCGGCUUUGGUGACUCUAGAUAACCUCGGGCUGAUCGCACGCCCCCCGUGGCGGCGACGACCCAUUCGAACGUCUGCCCUAUCAACUUUCGAUGGUAGUCGCCGUGCCUACCAUGGUGACCACGGGUGACGGGGAAUCAGGGUUCGAUUCCGGAGAGGGAGCCUGAGAAACGGCUACCACAUCCAAGGAAGGCAGCAGGCGCGCAAAUUACCCACUCCCGACCCGGGGAGGUAGUGACGAAAAAUAACAAUACAGGACUCUUUCGAGGCCCUGUAAUUGGAAUGAGUCCACUUUAAAUCUAAUCCAGGAAAAGAGUACAAA
rnacentral:ncRNA from 1 species